GGGUAUAGAGGACAGCGGGAGGCGCAAGUGCGUCGUCGUCGUCGUUUCCGCCGCAGCGUGCAAGGAAGGACGCAGCUCAGGAACAAGGAAAGAAGAACUACCUGCCCCCGGUCUCGCAGCGGUUCGCCGUGCCGCGCCGGCGGCCGCGGCUCCUCCUGGGACUGGCCGUGGCACGAGGAGGAGGCCAGGUACUCCGCCGCCUACUAGUCCUGCUGCCGCUGUUCUUCCGCGGAGCUGUUCCCUCGUCCGCCCAGCGAAGGGAGCUGCAGAAGGCACCGGAGUGGCAGCGAGACUACUAUGACCACCUGCCGCGGCCGCCGCUCACCGGCCAGUAGCCCGUGCGCGGCACCGUGCCGACGUUGGAGCGUCUGAAGCAGUACGGGACGAAGGAGAAGUAGCAGCCGUACCGGUAGGGUGAGAGGGAGUUCUCUUAAGGUCUAGCGCCGACCCGGCAGUCCUCCCACCAGUAUUCUUGUGACUUCGACGAGAAGACCCCCUAGAACGACGUUCCAACGAAUGUUCUUCGUACCUCUUGUGACUAGACAAAUGUGGUUAAUCGAAGAAUUCAGAGAGACAAUAUGUUUACGGAGACACAAAACUGUCACCAGCGCUUCGCGGUGGGGGGAUAGACGUUUCUCCUUUAAGAUUGUGUAGUCGUUACACAGUGGUACAGGUAUGCGUCCACCGAUGAGGGUGCGAGGUCUACUUGACUGAAUACCUCAACUGUACUUCGUGUAUGCUACCACGCCGUAAGAGGUCUCCUAACGGGAACGUAUGAACCAACAGCGUCAGUAUCUCUAGCGCUGCUUUCUACGCUCCCAAGUCCUAGUCAGUUCAAGUCCGAAGAAGAGUUAAAAGUCCUACAUGAACAGGGUCACCUAACAACGUACAACGUAGGAAAACUAGAUAAACAGGGAACAGAUGCCCUAAAUGCAAGGCCUGACCCUCAAGUCCCACGCUUUACACCUGUCGGACUUGAUACCGUUUCAAAAUUGUCACUGGACACCGUGUUCCCCUUUAGACUCGGGAGGAACGUUACGACAUCCAAUGUAGCUGGCAUUUCAGGAGCCGUAGUUAGUGGACAUGGUCUUUGGACGUACCUCUUCCGUGUCCCUGACAUGACUACUAAGGGGAAUACUCCCCGGAAAGUUUUCCCUGCGGGGCCGGACCACACGGAGCGGUAAACUUGGACUUCCCAAUGAUUCGAGUAAAAGUCGCCAUAAUUCAUGCUAGUAGCCGCAUGUGAUGCCCGUGCACGAACAAGUAUACUUCUCAGUAUACCUGUCCGAUUUCGUCACCCAGUGGUACCCGCAUCGAGAGGAGGAGGAGCCUUAGUAAGACGUGAAGAGAGUACGCUAAGGAGACUUGUUCGUCGACAUGUGUGAGUCGAUGUAGACGCACUGGCGGCCGCGGCGACCGUAGCAGAAGAGGUACGAAAUGAAGGAACACCUACAGCACUCGGACGCGAUACAGAAGCUCGGCGACGCCACCCAGCCGUACUUGCGCUACGACCACAUGCACUACCGCCGCCGCCCGUAGAAGCUCCCGAAGGAGUUGCCGACCAUGAUGCUGCCCGGGUUCUUGUGUGACCAAAUGACCCACUCCUUCGUGCACAAGCAGUCCCACACCGUGAGCCUCUCCCACCCGUAGGAGGAGAUGCAGGAGCAGCGCGUCUAGGACGAGACCCGCGAGGAACGGCCGGAGGAGGUGGCCCGGCCCCAGAUGACCUUCGAGAUCAGUCGGUCCUCCUGUAGCCACAGUAGUAAACGAACACACACAACCUUGAAUCUUAACACAUCCUACACACAUUCUACUGUUCUUUGAUCUUCUUUUCUAACUUCCGAGUGACUGACGGGUAGUACACCGCUCAUCUCGUGUGGAUGGUCUCCCUCACCCUCUAGUUUCAGUAACUGACGGGUAAUAGAACGAUAUUGUUCAUGCAUGUAAAGUACCUUUUACUAUUCAACAGCCAAUUUAGUAAACGACUUUCCCGCGUUUUCCUAAGGUUGUACUGGGGUUCGUCUUCGCCCUGAUUCGAAGUCUUUCGAUCUUCCGGACGUGGACCACUCUACAUACCACUUCUCCACUUGAUCACAUCGGAUACCCUGAUACCUCUUUUAAUUAGACCUUACAGUGUAAACAAUUGAAUACUAGUCGUGUAACAACGAAUACUAAUCGUGUAGGUAACCGAAUACUAAUAGAUGUCAGACUAGGUUGAAAGGUCUUUAUAUAUAUGAACAUAGGUCAGCCUACGUACAUCAUUCGGUAGAAACUAAAAGACUUUGACAAGUGUUCCGUCUCCUGACAAUCCGUCACAAUGUUCGUUUAGGUUACGGUCGACUCGGUUGAAGGCAACGAUCGUUCGAUGUUUAGUAGUCGACCUUAGUGCGGUAGUACGAAAAUGGGU
rnacentral:rRNA from 1 species